ACUCAUCGUAGCCUCGUAUAUU
rnacentral:sRNA from 1 species